UCUUCUCGGAGCCGGAGUGAACUUCAAGUCGCGUGUUUGCAUGAGUUUUUUGAAGUGCUGUUGGGGCUGGGGCUGCGUGAUCGUCACUGGCGUCCUCCAGAGUGCCCACCGAUCAGAAAGUCGUACGAACCGCAAGCUUUGAACGUCUGUUUAUCGCACCCUCGAAAGCGGCGGCACAGAAGGCGCGAUGUGAGCUCCGGUGGGAACAGCAGCCCUUUGUCUCGUAACGGUGCCGUCCAGACUGGCCAUGAGACCAGCGAAUUUGCUGUAGAAACAGCCAUCUGGGAGUGGCUGCGUCACGCUCCUGCCAGGCACAGAACUGCCAUUGCCAAGGACUGUGCCACUGAACAGCCCGGAUAUGUGCGACAUGGUUCCCUCGGCCUGUUGCACAUUUACCUAUCACCCGCAGCAUCUAGCUGCCAGAGUGACCUUGCUUUCUUCAGCGCUGUGCCACUGAACAGCCCGGACAUGUGUGACAUGGUCUCCUAGGCCUGCGGUACUUUCGCCGAUUACCCGUGGCGUCGAGCUCCAGUGUGCCGAGUUGUCCAAUACUGCCAAGUGCUUUAUGAUGCCACCAAUGUGCCAAAUGCUCUAGUACUGUUAUGUGCUUCGCCACUCUGCCUUGCGCUCUCCACAUCUCUCCAGUAUAUAAAGUGUCCCAUCGCGUCUCCAUUUGUGAAGUGCAUUACCAAGUCGCCAAGUGCUCCAGUACUGUGUUAUGUGCUCCGCUGCUUUGCCGAGUGCUCUCCGUUUCUACAGUAUACCAAGUGCCCCAUUGCAUCUCCAUUUUACCAAGUGCUCCAAUAUUGUCAAAUGCUUGACCAGGUCUGGAAUGUGCCAUGUGCUCCACUGCUGUGCCAAGUGUAUACUUUGUAAAUGAUAUACAUGCCUUAAGUUCAACCAAUAGCUCUACUGCAUAAUUUAUCCAUACAGUUGGUCUUCAGAUAGACUUCUAUGUCAGUAUGUACACAUAUUGUAGAGUUGUGUUACUGUUCCUGUAGAGUAGAUGUGGGUCAACAUGUUUUUUCUUCAUAGAAGGCUACAGCGCGGAACCAACAAAGACAAAGAACACAGACACAGUGUUGACUUUCAACAAGAAUCAGCUUUCUGAAAGUCAGUGCUGUGUCUGUUCUUUGUGUGCCUCUCCUGUCUUCGUCGGUUCCGCGCCAUGGCCUUCUACGAUGUUCAAGCAGCAAGCCCAACUGGUUACUCUGCUCAAAUGUUUUUCUACCAUUCUUGGCACCUUUGUGCCGUUUCCUAUAUCAAGUGCCCAGCUUGCUAUGCAACUGCCGAGAUUUGUCACACCAGCGUGCUGCUGCCAUUGAUGUCAUCAUUGCUAAUACAGCCUUCAUAAAUAACAACAUAAACUUGGACAGCACAAUAUUAUUUUUAAAUUUUCAUUUCAUUCUAAUAUAUAAAGAAGGUUGUACUUAUUUGUUUAUUUCUACUAACAUUCUGCAGAUAUCACAAGGACCAUGCAUUGCGUUUAAUGUUUUACUCACAGAAGAUGUGUGCAUCACUCCUGGAAGUUUGUAGUUUGUGUAUUUCUAGUCAGGUUUUGUGGAUUUUGCUUCGACCAACUUUCUAGUCACAUUUCGCAGAUUUUACUUGCACAUCUAUUGAUUUUGUUUUACUUGCACAUGAAUUGUCUGCAUUUUGACAAGGUCACAAAUAUAUCUGAGAAAAUAUUGAGCUUUAUGCUGCCAGAUGUAAGAGUUGCGUGUUCAAAAGAACUCUUGUUCAAGUUCAUGCUAUUCAUCGCUUCGACAUUUCAGGUCUUGCUGUUCAUCUUAGUAUUUUUUAUGCAAUAUUGUCUUAGCUGCAUUUUAUGUAUGGUAUAACAGGGAUUCCUCAGCGAGAGCUUGAGGUAUACUUUGCAAGGGCAUUAUUUAGGGAUUUAUUUCUCUGGUUUAGCUAGUUCUAUAUUUUCUAAGCAACGAUAUCCUAAAAUUCUGUAUGAUAUAGGUCUCAUUUUUGCUGUUCAACAUAGCUUUCAUUUUGUUAAACAUAUCCUGAAUAAAAGCUUGAGAUACUCUUUGAGGAUGUACGCGUGAGUUUGUUUUAGUUCUAUUUUUUUCUAUGAAAGGUUACUUUAUUAUGUGUAAUGCUUGUUCUAAAAUAAAAUUUUG
rnacentral:lncRNA from 1 species